rnacentral:rRNA from 1 species
UACGUAGGGUGCAAGCGUUGUCCGGAAUUAUUGGGCGUAAAGAGCUCGUAGGCGGUUUGUUGCGUCGGCUGUGAAAUCCCGAGGCUCAACCUCGGGUCUGCAGUCGAUACGAGCAAACUAGAGUGUUGCAGGGGAGACUGGAAUUCCUGGUGUAGCGGUGAAAUGCGCAGAUAUCAGGAGGAACACCGGUGGCGAAGGCAGAUCUCUGGGCCGUAACUGACGCUGAGGAGCGAAAGCAUGGGGAGCGAACAGGA